UCGAGGGGUAGAAGUCUUCGGACUUUGAGACCGGCGCACGGGUGCGUAACGCGUAUGCAAUCUGCCUUACACUAAGGGAUAGCCCAGAGAAAUUUGGAUUAAUACCUUAUAGUAUAUUGAUGUGGCCUCACAUUAUUAUUAAAGAUUUAUCGGUGUAAGAUGAGCAUGCGUCCCAUUAGCUAGUUGGUAUGGUAACGGCAUACCAAGGCUAUGAUGGGUAGGGGUCCUGAGAGGGAGAUCCCCCACACUGGUACUGAGACACGGACCAGACUCCUACGGGAGGCAGCAGUGAGGAAUAUUGGUCAAUGGGCGCAAGCCUGAACCAGCCAUGCCGCGUGCAGGAUGAAGCAUCUAUGGUGUGUAAACUGCUUUUGUACGGGAAGAAACACCUCUACGUGUAGAGGCUUGACGGUACCGUAAGAAUAAGGAUCGGCUAACUCCGUGCCAGCAGCCGCGGUAAUACGGAGGAUCCAAGCGUUAUCCGGAAUCAUUGGGUUUAAAGGGUCCGUAGGCGGUUUUGUAAGUCAGUGGUGAAAUCCGGCAGCUCAACUGUCGAACUGCCAUUGAUACUGCAGGACUUGAAUUAUUGUGAAGUAACUAGAAUAUGUAGUGUAGCGGUGAAAUGCUUAGAUAUUACAUGGAAUACCCAUUGCGAAGGCAGGUUACUAACAAUGGAUUGACGCUGAUGGACGAAAGCGUGGGGAGCGAACAGGAUUAGAUACCCUGGUAGUCCACGCCGUAAACGAUGGAUACUAGCUGUUCGGAAGCAAUUCUGAGUGGCUAAGCGAAAGUGAUAAGUAUCCCACCUGGGGAGUACGGGCGCAAGCCUGAAACUCAAAGGAAUUGACGGGGGCCCGCACAAGCGGUGGAGCAUGUGGUUUAAUUCGAUGAUACGCGAGGAACCUUACCAGGGCUUAAAUGUAGUGGGACAGGCUUGGAAACAGGCCCUUCUUCGGACUCAUUACAAGGUGCUGCAUGGUUGUCGUCAGCUCGUGCCGUGAGGUGUCAGGUUAAGUCCUAUAACGAGCGCAACCCCUGUUGUUAGUUGCCAGCGAGUGAUGUCGGGAACUCUAACAAGACUGCCGGUGCAAACCGUGAGGAAGGUGGGGAUGACGUCAAAUCAUCACGGCCCUUACGUCCUGGGCUACACACGUGCUACAAUGGCCGGUACAGAGAGCAGCCACUGGGCGACCAGGAGCGAAUCUAUAAAGCCGGUCACAGUUCGGAUCGGAGUCUGCAACCCGACUCCGUGAAGCUGGAAUCGCUAGUAAUCGGAUAUCAGCCAUGAUCCGGUGAAUACGUUCCCGGGCCUUGUACACACCGCCCGUCAAGCCAUGGAAGCUGGGGGUACCUGAAGUCGGUGACCGCAA
rnacentral:rRNA from 1 species